CUAUUUAGAGCAAUGACCACCUUCAUAAGCCUCCAGGUGAAGCAUCUCAUUGGAUUCAUGAAUCAUCCCUCAACCACUUUCUUAGGAAAGCAGAAUGAACGACGAAUAUCUUGGCAUAAAAAAAAGGGGGAGAGGCGACUAUAUACGUUGGAAGAACAAAAGGAAGAGUGGUGAAUAAAUCAGUACACUCAAGAAUGCCGACGAACAAGGAAAUAAAACCAGCAGUGGUCUUGAGAGAAAAUAAGGGCAAUCACACCUACGUUAAUACCUGUCCUGACAUAUUUCAGCACACAAACUUGCACCAGCCCUUCUUUGCAUGCAGUUGCAGCUCAACUACCGAAACAGACAUCGAAGGCGGGAUCAGGGCACAGCUUCAUCUUUGGGCCUCCCUGCAUACACUGCAAUAGAAGAAAUAGCAGAUUCAUUCAGCAUUAUUUGUUAUUUUCAAAGAAGAGGUCAGUCCUACACCUUGAUAUCAAUGCGUGCAGACUGGCUGGUAGAAAAUAGACCAGGGAGAUCAAGGAGAAGGCGUCGCCUUCAGGUUUGCGAUGAAGAUGGUGUCUCGUCGCCGCAGACUGCCCGGCAAUGAUGAAGCUCACCACCAGGACGGUCAAUCGUCAACCAGCUGGUGGCCUCGACCUGAAGAGUCUAUUGUUGAUACACCUGUAAUGUAUUGUACUGUCAUUCACCAGACCAAAAAAGCAGCAUCUUCCAUAGGCAACUGGCAGAGGCAAGGCCAAGGAAAA